UUACUGACAUCGUUCGACCUGUAGUUUUUCCACUUCUCUGUCAAGUCACCAUUUACAAUCACUGAGUUAAAUUCGAUUUUGGGCCAAACAAUGUCUGCCUCCGAAACAUUAGGUGGCGAAAAUGCUCCUUUCGGCUUGUUUUGCGAGAAAGUGGUUCGUCCACAGAUCUGGAGAGAAGACUUGGGGUACAUCUCAUCCUGUUUACAUACUAGCUCCUCCCACCAGAAAUUCCAUCGAGGGGUCAGGAUGUUGACAGAGGAGCGAUGCAGCCUGGUGUCUUGGUUCGGCAGCCUAUCCCUUGAAAACAAGAACUCCCUCUACCACAUUCAUAGGCUCGACGUGUGAAGUUUCAUUCGUUUUCGGGGAUCUCGCAGCGGUCGCUGCUCGGGUCCUAAUAAUAAUGAAAAAGAAUUAUUUCUACAAUUACAAUAGGACCCUUGCAGCGAUCGCUGCUCAGGCCCUAAUAAUAAUAAUAAGAAUAACAGAACUGUGAGCAGCUAUUAAGGGCCCUUGCACCCCGGCCACGUUGAGGUACUGGCAACGUUGGGGUACUGGACCAUCCGCCAACAUCCCCCGGACUCACGGCUGUGGUGUCCUUGAGGAAGACACUAAUACCCCGAAAUGCUCCCCGGGCGCUUCAGCUGCCCCCUGCUCCAGUGUGUUUCACUAACGUGUAUGUGUUCACUGUGAUGGGUUAAAUGCAGAGAACAAAUUUCGUGUACAUGCAUGCAUGUUCAUGACAAUAAAAGGUGAUUCUUCUUCUUCUUCA